GCCCUUGAGUUUGAUCAUGGCUCAGGACGAACGCUGGCGGCGCGCCUAACACAUGCAAGUCGAACGGAAUGCGGAGAGGAUUUAUCUUUUCUGUGUUUAGUGGCGAACGGGUGAGUAACGCGUGAGGAACCUGCCUCAAAGAGGGGGACAACAGUUGGAAACGACUGCUAAUACCGCAUAAGCCCACGGGGCCGCAUGGCCCUGAGGAAAAAGGAGCAAUCCGCUUUGAGAUGGCCUCGCGUCCGAUUAGCUGGUUGGUGAGGUAACGGCCCACCAAGGCGACGAUCGGUAGCCGGACUGAGAGGUUGAACGGCCACAUUGGGACUGAGACACGGCCCAGACUCCUACGGGAGGCAGCAGUGGGGAAUAUUGCACAAUGGGGGAAACCCUGAUGCAGCGACGCCGCGUGGAGGAAGAAGGUCUUCGGAUUGUAAACUCCUGUUGUUGGGGAAAAGAAGGAUGGUACCCAACAAGGAAGUGACGGCUAACUACGUGCCAGCAGCCGCGGUAAAACGUAGGUCACGAGCGUUGUCCGGAAUUACUGGGUGUAAAGGGAAGGGC
rnacentral:rRNA from 1 species